UACGUAGGGGGCAAGCGUUGUCCGGAUUUACUGGGUGUAAAGGGAGCGCAGACGGAUGGAUAAGUCUGAAGUGAAAGCCCGCGGCUCAACUGCGGGACUGCUUUGGAAACUGUGCAUCUUGAGUACGGGAGGGGCAGGCGGAAUUCCUGGUGUAGCGGUGAAAUGCGUAGAUAUCAGGAGGAACACCGGCGGCGAAGGCGGCCUGCUGGACCGAAACUGACGUUGAGGCUCGAAAGCGUGGGGAGCAAACAGG
rnacentral:rRNA from 1 species